AUUUGUAGAGUGCCCUUUAUAAUAUUAAUCAGUACUUUUUCCAUCACCAAGAUUUGACGUCCUAAUAAUUGGUACCCUAUUAUCUGUAUCAUAAUCAAGAACAAUAAAUUCAAUAGGAAUAAUAAAUUUACUAACCUUAAUGAGGACGUCUUCAAAGAUUCCUUUGGGAUGAAAUCCCAUUCUAUCUGCCAAUUAGAUCACCAC
rnacentral:lncRNA from 1 species